GUGAGGAAUCUUCCACAAUGGGCGAAAGCCUGAUGGAGCAACGCCGCGUGAAGGAUGAAGGCCCUAGGGUCGUAAACUUCUUUUAUAAGUGAAGAAUAUGACGGUAACUUAUGAAUAAGCACCGGCUAACUACGUGCCAGCAGCCGCGGUCAUACGUAGGGUGCAAGUAUUAUCCGGAGUGACUGGGCGUAAAGAGUUGCGUAGGUGGUUUGUUAAGUAGGUAGUGAAAUCUGGCGGCUCAACCGUACAGGCUAUUACCUAAACUGGCAAACUCGAGAAUGGUAGAGGUAACUGGAAUUUCUUGUGUAGGAGUGAAAUCCGUAGAUAUAAGAAGGAACACCAAUGGCGUAGGCAGGUUACUGGACCAUUUCUGACACUGAGGCACGAAAGCGUGGGGAGCGAACGGGAUUAGAAACCCCGGUAGUCC
rnacentral:rRNA from 1 species